GACAGAGGGUGCAAACGUUGUUCGGAAUUACUGGGCGUAAAGCGUGUGUAGGCGGUCUUCUAAGUCGGGUGUGAAAUCCCUGGGCUCAACCCAGGAAGUGCACUCGAAACUGGAGGGCUAGAGUAUCGGAGAGGUUGGUGGAAUUCUCGGUGUAGAGGUGAAAUUCGUAGAUAUCGAGAGGAACACCGGUGGCGAAGGCGGCCAACUGGACGAAUACUGACGCUGAUGCGCGAAAGCGUGGGGAGCAAACGGG
rnacentral:rRNA from 1 species